rnacentral:rRNA from 1 species
UGAGGAAUAUUGGUCAAUGGAAGGAAUUCUGAACCAGCCAUGCCGCGUGCAGGAAGACGGCUCUAUGAGUUGUAAACUGCUUUUGUACGAGGGUAAACCCGGAUACGUGUAUCCGGCUGAAAGUAUCGUACGAAUAAGGGUCGGCUAACUCCGUGCCAGCAGCCGCGGUAAUACGGAGGACCCGAGCGUUAUCCGGAUUUAUUGGGUUUAAAGGGUGCGUAGGCGGUUUAAUAAGUUAGAGGUGAAAUAUUCAGGCUUAACCUGGAAAGUGCCUCUAAUACUGUUAGACUAGAGAAUAGAUGCAGAGGGCGGAAUGUGUGGUGUAGCGGUGAAAUGCAUAGAUAUCACACAGAACACCGAUUGCGAAGGCAGCUCUCUAAUCUAUAUCUGACGCUGAGGCACGAAAGCGUGGGGAGCAAACA